CAGACGGUCUCAUCAUUGACUGAGCAGGGCCAAACUCAGGGAAGGAGGCAGUCAUGCAAAGAACUGAAGAGUCCUGUUAAGACUUUACGCUUAUGAGUUGCUGGGGAAAACCACAAGCAGAAAG